AGAGAGGUGUGAGGCGCCGCCCUUUGCCUACCUGAGCGCAGGUUGUGGGUUCCCAUGGCAACAGGGAAGAGGGUUAGUUAUGAAGACGCCUCCUUGUCCCCUCAGCUGCUAAAAUUGUUAUCUUCGCGCAAGAGGGUUUUUUGGGGUGCAACUGGGCCAUGGCUUCUUGAGUUAGAGGGCAACAGGUUUCUCUGCAGCUGUUCAGAAAAGAAUGAAGCCAUGCGUAAGGGAGAAGUCUAUAAUCUGUUGGAUGCUGCUUGUGAAUAAGCUAAAAUGACUGUGAAAUUGCUCUCUCUUCUGCCUGUGCCAUCUGUGCUCUUGGCUUUCUGCCUUGCCACAAGGAGUGAGCAGGAAAGGACAGCAGCUUUACAAGAAUUCUUUUCGCUGACGGUUUCAUCUAAUUUAUCGUGUGUGGACCCAGAUCACUUCCAUGAUCACACUAUUUGGACCCAGCAAGAA